GGAGGCAAGAACCAAUUCCAGACAAGCUGAGUGGGAGAGGAAGGCCAAGGCACCUUCCUCUCUCUGGAGGACCCCCUCCUCUCUCCGGGGGUUCCUCCGGGGCCCUGGGUCUACCAUCAGGAUGCUAGCUCUUGAACAAGCCUGAGAACUCUCAAAAUGUUCUCGUGGGUCCAAAACCGCAGCACAUCUGAGCACAGCGCCGGGCUAGAGACCCCACUGCAGGCCCCCAACCGACGCUGCUGGUUCAUACUUGAUCCUAUUGGCAUCCUGUGUGCCCUGGGUGCAUGGGCGCUGAUGCUGAGCGGUGGAUGGAUACUAUUCCGGGACCUGCUUAUACCAUCUAACAACAUGUUGUACACAGUGGCCAAUGGUGUGAUCUUCCAUCUGCUGGCCUCGUUGGCACUUGUGUCACAUCUACGGACUAUGCUGACCGACCCAGGUUCUGUGCCCCUGGGUAACCCGCCCGGGCCUGACACAGUGUCCUACUGUCCCGACUGCCACUCUGCCAUACCAAAGAGAACUUACCACUGUACGGUGUGCAAGCGCUGCAUCCGCAAGAGCGACCACCACUGUCCCUGGAUCAACAACUGCGUGGGUGAAGACAACCAGAAGUACUUCUUGCUUUUCACAAUGUACAUUGGACUUACCGCGACCCACGUUCUGCUCCUGCUGGGCAUCCCCGUCUUGUGCAGCUACGCCCGGGGAGAGUGGAAUUCGAGCAGCACCGUGUCCCCAUCUGUCCCUAUCCUCUUCCUCCUCCUGUUGGCGUUGAUGGGCUUCAUCCUUGGCUUGGCGAUGCUCUGUAGCCAAAUGUGCACCAUCUGCACAGACAAAACUACAACGGAGCUGCUGUAUCGUAACACACGCUCAAGGGGCAGACGGUCCAAGUGUGUAAACUUGAAGGCCGUUUGUGGCUCCCACGUCUCCCUGGCCUGGCUCAGUCCUUUUCAUUCCCCAGAACAUUACAAAGUGAAUGAGCAGCACAAUACGGCCUAAGUCAUUCACGACUGUCCGGAGCAAAGCACAGCCACACACGAACCUGAACAAACCAGCUCCCUGAAGGAAAUCAACAUGGCAGACUAAAAAGUAAUAUACCUCAGAUUUUCUUACCCAACAAAACAGGAGAGGAAAGUCAGUUGUUGAGGGAACCCAGAGGAAAUUGAGCUCCCUGUGCCCUACUGUGGCUCAACCAUGCUGUCAACUGGAAAGCAAUUAAACACAUCCUUAUGAUUACCUGUCCUGAGUUGGUACCCACUCUUGUUUAAUUCCAACUGUACACUCUAAAGUCAUCACAAGACGAUAACCUGCCUUCUGCGGUGAGCUCAGAGAGCAUCAUCUGGUUCUGAAC